rfam:Triticum aestivum genome assembly, contig: Triticum_aestivum_CS42_TGACv1_scaffold_129440_2BL
AAAAUACUCCCUCUGUCCGUAAAUACUUGUCAUCAAAAUGAAUAAAAGGGGAUGUAUCUAGAUGUAUAUUAGUUCUAGAUACAUCCCUUUUUAUCCAUUUUGAUGACAAGUAUUUUCAGACGGAGGGUGUAUUUG